UACGGGGGGAGCAAGCGUUGUUCGGAAUUACUGGGCGUAAAGGGCUCGUAGGCGGCCAACUAAGUCAGACGUGAAAUCCCUCGGCUUAACCGGGGAACUGCAUCUGAUACUGGAUGGCUUGAGAUUGGGAGAGGGAUGCGGAAUUCCAGGUGUAGCGGUGAAAUGCGUAGAUAUCUGGAGGAACACCGGUGGCGAAGGCGGCAUCCUGGACCAACACUGACGCUGAGGAGCGAAAGCCAGGGGAGCAAACGGG
rnacentral:rRNA from 1 species